rnacentral:lncRNA from 1 species
GACAGAUUCCUGCCAGACCCUUCAGAGCAAGUACCCCACACCCCUAGCCCAGGGUCUCUUCCUCGAUAGGGGGUGAUCUGUCUGCCCUUCACUGUUUUCUCCAAAUAGAUUGUUUCUAACACUACGCAUGCCUUUUGGAGACAAAUUUUAAAAAUAAACAUUAUUUUUAAAAGGAAACAAACAAACAAAACCAAACAGAAGGGAGGCUGGGUUUCUUGGGGAUUUCGGGAGUGCCUGUCUCUCCAUGAUCCGGGCAGUGUUCUUCUGAGAGGACUGAGGGCUGGGGAGGCAGAGAGAGCAAUGACAGGCCACCAGCAUUGAGAAAGAAGGCCUCAAGGCCACAUUGAGAAGGACACUACGCUCUGGAGCACAGGCUGAGCCCUGCAUUCUUGACAUUGGUGCCCUUCGGGAGUGCCAGAAUGAGCAGUCCCUCUCCUGGAGGAGCCUGCCUUCCCACCAUGGAGGCUAACACCACGACAGCCACAGUGAGCCACCCCAUCUGCCAUCUUCUUAUGUGUCAAGUACUGUGUUCAGUGCCUUCACAGGUAACUUCGAUAAGUCACCAUGGGCAUGCUGCGACUAAGUUGGUACUGAUAUUCUAUUGGUUUUAAAUGGGGAAACUGAGGCUCAGGAAGGUUCAGUAUUUUGCCGGAGGUCACACAGCCAGGCAAGGGCAGCGCCAAGAUUUCAGCUUCAAUCUGCCUGGCUUGGAAGACUUCCUUAUCUUGUGGCAGCAUCUCCAGAGAUCAUGGGUCAGCCUCUUCUUGCCAGAGGCGUGUGUGUGUGUGUGUGCACAGACACAUACACAC